UUUUUUUUUUUUUUUUUUUUGUACCAGGGAUCCAUCAAACUCAGGUUCUUGCACUUGCGAGGCAGGCGAUGGAACCACUGAGCUAAAUCCACAGCCCCUCACUGGACACUGACUAUUGUUGCGUGGUGACGACCAAAUAGAUGCAGAUCUUCACUGUCUUAUUGUGGAUGGAUCAGUGUCGCCAGCUAAUUCCAGACUCUCAUUCUCAGGCUGUCUGUCCACUUCACGAGGUUUGCAGGAGUUUCUUCAGGUUGGGUCACUUUUGCGUCUGCAUGGGAACACACUGGGGAGGCAAGGGCCCCGGGCAGGGGCUUGGAGGGGCAUCGCAUUCUUCCACCCCUAAAACCUGUUGUGUUCUAAAUGGAGGCUUUAAAAUUUCUAUUUCUUCUUCCUCUCCUCCUCCUCCUUCUCCUCCUUCUCCUUAUAAGAAAACCCCAGGCAUUUGCCAGCUGUUAUUGUCAUGCUCUGAAUUGCCCAAUAUAUGGCCAGGGGAUGUAGCUCAGUAGCAUAGCACUUGCCUGGCAAGUGUGAGGUCCUGAAUUUGAUCCCUGGUGCCAAAACAAACCAACAAAUAAAUAAAUGACUAAUGUACAAGAUAGUAGAUUACAAUUUAGUUUAAUUUGACUUCUUUCAGUACUGGGCAUUGAACUUGGGGCACUUUUCAGUGAGCUACCCCUCCAGCCCUUUCUAUUAUUUUGAAACAGGGUCUUCCUAAGGCUGGGCUUGAAUUUGUGAUCUUCCUGCUUCUGCCUCCCAGAGUGCUGGUAUUACAGGUGUGCACCACACCGGGCUAAUUUUUAAUUGACACUGUAACAUCUCAAUACCUGUAUCCCAUAACUAUCACACCGGAAACUGGGUAUCUGUCACCUCAGACAUUUACCUUUUUUUUGGAUGGGAUUGUUCAGAAUCCUCUGUUUAGUUUUUUUGAAAAAUGCACUCAACUUGCUUCACUGAAGCUGCCCUCGUGUAUAAAGCAUUAGCCAUUAUUCCUCUCCAGAACUUUUCCCACUUGCUUGUUGGCUCUGCAGAGAAGCAAGGCCAGUGUGUGUGAGGGUUUCUGCACCAUGCAAGUCAUUUCUCCGGCUGCCUCACGAUUCCAGAAGGGUCUCGAGCAUCCCACAGACACAGUGCAGAUUCUUUCUUGCACAAUGGCCAAGGCCCCAUCUGCUGCGUCUGCCUCGCUGAAUUCAGAGCUGUCAGAAAACAGAACCCACUGGAAACUGAUCUCGCGGGCCACAGCUUGGGUCUUCUGCCCGGACCACGCCCCUUCCCUGGCCCCGCCUGCACCUCACCGCCUCGGGGCUGCUCGGCUUGUCCCUGGGACCUCAGCCAGUUCUCCGCUGCCGCCUUUCUUGGCUCCCUGCCUUCCUAAUUAUUUAGCACUUCAGUGAGUUUUUCUGUCCACCAGCAGUUUGACGUAGAUGUCUCUGUUCUUGUCCCUUCUGUUUAUGUUUUAUGGUUAGUUCAAUUUUGUGUUCUAAUGUGUUCUAUAUUUAUUUAUAUACUUAUUUGGUAUUUUUGAGACAAGAAGUCGCUUGAGACAGGGUGUUCAGGCUGGACUCGAACUCACUGUGUAGCCUCAAACUCUCAGCCAUCCUCCUGCCUUAGCCUCCUGGGGUCUAGGAUAACAGGUGUGCACUACCAUGCCCUGUGCUAACAUGGCUUUUGUGGGGUGGGUUUUUUGUUUUUGUUUUUAGUACUGGGGAUCGAACUCGGGACUUUGUGCUAGCGAGGCCAGCGAAUGAACCACUGAGCUAAAUCUCCGGCCCUAAUUAAUUUUCUUGUUUUUUUGUUUUUGUUUUUCUUUUAAGACAGGGUCUCACUAUGUAGUUGAGACUGACCUGGAACUCACUAUGUAGCCCAGGCUGGUCUCGAACUCACAGCGAUCCUCCUGCCUCAGCCUCCCGAGUGCUGGGAUUACAGGUGUGGGUCACCACUCCUGGCUUGUGCCUGCU
ensembl:lincRNA